rnacentral:rRNA from 1 species
GACGAACGCUGGCGGCGUGCUUAACACAUGCAAGUCGAACGGAAAGGCCCCUUUGGGGGUACUCGAGUGGCGAACGGGUGAGUAACACGUGAGUAACCUGCCCUUGACUUCGGGAUAACUUCAGGAAACUGGGGCUAAUACCGGCUAGGAAUCCUUGCUGCAUGGUGGGGGUUGGAAAGCUUCGGCGGUUUUGGAUGGACUCGCGGCCUAUCAGCUUGUUGGUGGGGUAGUGGCUUACCAAGGCUUUGACGGGUAGCCGGCCUGAGAGGGCGACCGGCCACAUUGGGACUGGGAUACGGCCCAGACUCCUACGGGAGGCAGCAGGGGGGAAUAUUGCACAAUGGGCGGGAGCCUGAUGCAGCAACGCCGCGGGCGGGAUGACGGCCUUCGGGUUGGAAACCGCUUUCAGCAGGGGCGAAGCUUGUGGUGACGGUACCUGCAGAAGAAGCACCGGCUAACUACGUG